UAUAUUCUUGUGAUGAAAUAUUUCGGAUGUAAACUCACAGACCUGUUCUGAAUGCGCAAAACCAUGUGGAUAUUUCCGUUGCCUUCCUUCUGAUGAGAUCA
rfam:TPA: Aspergillus nidulans FGSC A4 chromosome VIII